rnacentral:lncRNA from 1 species
GCUGAAUCCAGAAAAGGGAAGAUUGGCAUCCAGAGUGUUUGGAGAGUGGGCCCAUAAGAGAACAUUGUGUGUGUAUGUGUGUGUGUGUGUGUGUGUGUGUGUGUGUGUGUGUGCACGUGCACGCACGUAUGUGUUGGGGGCUGUGUAGCUUCUCCUAACUUCACCAUGCAGAAGUCAAGGAAACGGUUACAGAGGCAAAAUGUGGGAGUAGCUAAUGGCAAUGGCCCAGAGAGAUGAAAAAAUGUGAGAAAACCAAAGCUUGGAGGUAGGAACUUUCCGAUUCUUUUGGAGUAGACUAAGGUGACUUAAGUAGGAAAAGAACGCAUAGCCAGUAACUCUCCCAACAGAACUGGAUUCGUGCCUGGGGUGAUUCAGGAUGUCCAGUUAAGCUGGGAAAUACUGAUUCCACUGAUCCCCUUCAUUCACUCAGAGCAGACCGAAGACUGUGAGACUUCCUCCCCACAGUGAGCUAAAAGGACGCUUUUGUCAGAGUGGGGAAAUAAAAGGGCUUUAUGGGAAGGAAGAUAAGAACAGAUGAGUCAGAGGUUUCUGCUUAAUGGUGGUACAGCCAAGCAGACAGGCAAGUAAGUGGCCAUACUGCUACUGCCUCAUGUAGGAUCCGGCAGGCUGGUGGGUUAUCAGUCCUCACGUGGGACCCUCCCACCAUGGCAGCUGAGCACAUCCAAGCUGGGGGAUCCUGAAGAGACCUUCACCUGGGUGCCACGUGGAAGAUUGGCCAGCACCAUUUUGACUCCUGUGGAUGGCACCCAAACUGCACCUGGUCACCUGUCUACAUUCAGAUUUAGAUGAAAGCCACACCAUGGAGGCAGCCAGAGGCCCAUGGGAGAUGUCUGGAUUCGCAGAGGAAUAGCUCCAUGUGAUGCAAACCUUGACUAAUGGGAACAGGAAAAGGGAGGAAACCAGGAAGAUAAAUCUCCCUCCCUUCUCAUUGCUCCUUGCAACCCUUCCCACUUGAAGCAUGACCACAUUUAAUGAACAACCUGCUGUGUCUCUUGGAAGCUUGCUGCAAGGCAGCAAUCAGCACAAUAACAUUGUAUUGUAUCUUCCUCUGCUUCACUUCUCUUCCUCCCUCACCCUCACUGCCCUGAGCUGGCACAUCCCAAAGAAAGCAUUACCACAUUAAUCCUUGUCUCAGACUCUGCUUUCAAGAGGAUCUAGGUGAAGGAAAUUCCUAUUACUCCACCUCUUCAUCACCUCUUCAAAUGUCAGACUUUAAAAAUGGUGUCAUUUUGUUGAGUGUAUCUCAUUGUGGUUUUAAUUUGCAUUUUCCUGAUUAUGAAUGGGGUUGGCUAACUUUUCCUAUGUUUAUUGGAUUUCUUCAUUUUUGAAGUGCUUGUUUAAGUUUUCUACUAAUUUUUCUAUUGGGUUGUCUUUUUUUUUUCUUUCUUUCUUUUUAAGACAGAAUCUUGCUCUGUUGCCCUGGCUAGAGUGCAGUGAUGUAAUAAUAGCUCACUGAAACCUCGAACUCCUGGGCUCAAGCAAUUAUCCCAUCUCGGCCUCCCAAGUAGCUGGAACUACAGGUGUGCACCACUACCACCAUGC